ACGCGUACUCUUCUUCGCCUUUUGGCCCCACACGUUUUCUUCUCUCUUCUUCCUUUGUUUGCAAAUUCAGAGGGUUUUUCCUUUAGUUUUUACCCUGUACUGCCACCUCACUCCACCUCUCCGUUUUCUUACAAUUCAAGAUUCUGUUUUUUUUUCUUGAUCCCAUAUAAAGAUUUCAUCUUUUUUCUUUAAUUGGGUGAUUUGGGUAAAAUCUUGUUUUGUUUUGUUGCUCAUGGCGUAUCAGAUGAGUCCAGGUGGGAGUAGUAGUGGUGGGGGGUCAGGUUCGCCGUUUACGGGUCGGGGCCCAUAUGGGGUUGGGGAUACGACGUAUACGAAGGUUUUUGUUGGUGGGUUGGCUUGGGAGACGAAGAGUGAAUCACUCCGCAGUUAUUUUGAACAGUUUGGGGAUAUUAUUGAAGCGGUUGUUAUUACUGAUAAACAUACUGGACGCUCUAAAGGCUAUGGCUUUGUUACGUUCCAUGAUCCGGAAGCUGCAUGGAGGGCUUGCACCAAUCCUAAUCCAAUCAUUGAUGGUAGAAGGGCUAAUUGCAACCUGGCUUCACUUGGGAGACCUCAAGGACUUUUACCUUAUGGACGUUUGAGAUCUUCAAUGCCUUAUCUGGGGAAUCCACAGGCCUCAAGGGGUAUGUAUAUGGGGAGCCCCUAUUACCAGCUACCAGUUCCUUACAGUUAUCAGCCUGGAUUCUCAUAUCCUCCAUAUAGGUUUCCUGCAUAUGGGCCAGACUAUGUUUACCCGCAGAUGUAUGGGAUACCAAGUACUGUUGGCACAAACACAUUACAGUUUGGCCAACUUGGUGCGCAGCCGGGCAGUCCUGCGUAUGCGUAUCGCGGUCAUUUGAUGACUGGUCCUCAUAUGGUGCAAUAUCAGAGACCUAAUGCUAGUGGAGCUAUGACAGACAAUGUUCCUUUGAUGCAACUACCUUAUCAUUCAGUGAAGGUGCUUGAUUACCCCAUUUCUUCAGGCAUCACUAUGCCGUCUCCUCGUCAGCCACAGACUGCAGUACAAGCUCGUCCACCACAAUUCACUCAGAGCAGUGGCUCUGACCAAAUGGCAGGUUGAAUGGUUUAACUGGAUGUAUCAUGUCGCAGGAUGAAUUCAAGGAAUUGGCUCGCUGUUAUUUGUGUGGUAAGACUUGGAACAUGACCUUGAACGUCAGAUGGGGAGGCAAACAGAGGUCUUUCAAAGUCAUGACCACCAAGAACUCGAGGGAAUCACUUGUAAAAUACCAAGAAGUUCAGAUAACCAUAUCAGAAAUGAGGUAGUGCCUGGACUGCUCUUUCGCAGUCUGUAUGGACAAUCCUGCCAGGACUUCAAGUCACUCAUUCGUUAAAGUAUAUAAUUGAACUGAUUGUGAAAGAUGGUUUCCGCAAUCAUAUUUAGUAGAAUCAACAUAUGAUUCUUUAAAUAGGCCUGGGUCAUCCUGGUCUGUAGGUGCACACUUCUCUUUAAUGUCCAUAAGACGUGUCUUUUAUAUGUUUUUCUUUUCUCUGUUUUGAUCUCCUUAGGGUUAGGGGAUCAAUAUCCAGGUCUUCAUCUCCAUCUAUGAACUGCUAUUUUCUUAGGGACCUUCUCCGUUUUGUCACUUUUUAUGUUCUUUUUUUCCCGAUAUAUGUCCAGUGUGUUUGUAUAGGAACCAAGUCUCUCACCUUAUCCUCUCCCUUAUUAGAACGAGAAAGUAAAGGAGGACGAAAGGAAGGAAAGCAGGGCUACUUUGAAGGACUGGACAAGACCUCGUAUGAUUAUAUGAGCCAUGUGCGCAAAACACAGGUUUUGGUUCGAGAAUAUGGAUGCUACUCAAUGUAGUUGCAUAAUACUCUUGUAGCCAACCUUCAGUUGGUACCCGUUUCUGUGCGUGAAUAAUAGCUAGUAAUAGUGUCUUGUCUUGGUCAGGUUCCUUGUGAACCAAUAUCAGUGGAUGCCUAUUCAUUCUAGAUAGUCAUUUUUCUAUGCCUGUUCUUCAUGUCCAGCAAAAUUGUCGUCAUUGUUGAAGGGAACAAUUACAUUCUCAAGUCUUAACGUCAAUAGCAGAAUUACUUGUUGGUAAGUGUAGCUGCAGUACCUAAUCAACUAAAGCUACCUUAGCCACUAUUGCUGA